GACGAACGCUGGCGGCGUGCCUAAUACAUGCAAGUUGAGCGAUGAAGAUUGGUGCUUGCACCAAUUUGAAGAGCAGCGAACGGGUGAGUAACGCGUGGGGCAUCUGCCUUUGAGCGGGGGACAACAUUUGGAAACGAAUGCUAAUACCGCAUAACAACUUUAAACAUAAGUUUUAUGUUUGAAAGAUGCAAUUGCACCACUCAAAGAUGAUCCCGCGUUGUAUUAGCUAGUUGGUGAGGUAAAGGCUCAUCAAGGCGAUGAUACAUAGCCGACCUGAGAGGGUGGUCGGCCACAUUGGGACUGAGACACGGCCCAAACUCCUACAGGAGGCAGCAGUAGGGAAUCUUCGGCAAGGGGCGAAAGUCUGACCGAGCAACGCCGCGGGAGUGAAGAGGGUUGUCGGAUCGUAAAACUCUGUUGGUAGAGAAGAACGUUGGUGAGAGUGGAAAGCUCAUCAAGUGACGGUAACUACCCAGAAAGGGACGGCUAACUACGUG
rnacentral:rRNA from 1 species